rnacentral:rRNA from 1 species
GACGAACGCUGGCGGCGUGCCUAAUACAUGCAAGUUGAGCGCUGAAGGUUGGUACUUGUACCAACUGGAUGAGCAGCGAACGGGUGAGUAACGCGUGGGGAAUCUGCCUUUGAGCGGGGGACAACAUUUGGAAACGAAUGCUAAUACCGCAUAAAAACUUUAAACACAAGUUUUAAGUUUGAAAGAUGCAAUUGCAUCACUCAAAGAUGAUCCCGCGUUGUAUUAGCUAGUUGGUGAGGUAAAGGCUCACCAAGGCGAUGAUACAUAGCCGACCUGAGAGGGUGAUCGGCCACAUUGGGACUGAGACACGGCCCAAACUCCUACGGAAGGCAGCAGUAGGGAAUCUUCGGCAAUGCACGAAAGUCUGACCGAGCAACGCCGCGUGAGUGAAGAAGGUUUUCGGAUCGUAAAACUCUGUUGGUAGAGAAGAACGUUGGUGAGAGUGGAAAGCUCAUCAAGUGACGGUAACUACCCAGAAAGGGACGGCUAACUACGUG